GCCGGUAUAGCUUAGUGGUAGAGCAUUUGCCUUGUAAGUAAAAGGUCGUGGGUUCGACUCCCACUAUCGGCU